UGGGGAAUAUUGGACAAUGGGCGAAAGCCUGAUCCAGCAAUGCCGCGUGAGUGAUGAAGGCCUUAGGGUUGUAAAGCUCUUUUACCCGGGAUGAUAAUGACAGUACCGGGAGAAUAAGCCCCGGCUAACUCCGUGCCAGCAGCCGCGGUAAUACGGAGGGGGCUAGCGUUGUUCGGAAUUACUGGGCGUAAAGCGCACGUAGGCGGCUUUGUAAGUUAGAGGUGAAAGCCCGGAGCUCAACUCCGGAAUUGCCUUUAAGACUGCAUCGCUUGAAUCAUGGAGAGGUGAGUGGAAUUCCCAGUGUAGCGGUGAAAUGCGUAGAUAUUGGGAGGAACACCAGUGGCGAAGGCGGCUCACUGGACCGGUUCUGACGCUGAGGCGCGAAAGCGUGGGGAGCAAAC
rnacentral:rRNA from 1 species